GCCUGAUGAUAAGGUUCUUCUGACCAGGAAUUUUUUGCAGCACACAGAGCUCAUUUGGGAUCUGACCACUCUUAUUAUCAUUCCCUUUUGCAGUGUACUAUGUGGAUAUCUUUUUCAAUUUCCAUGAAUAUUGACAGAGAUCUAUGCAGUGAAGUGAUGUGAAACUUUCUCAGCGAUUUUCAAGCUAUGCAACCCAUAAAUCAUUCGCCU
rnacentral:lncRNA from 1 species